AAACUUAAUUAGCUAUAGUUUCAAAACUAUAAAUUUUGAAGAAAAAAAUCUACACAAAAUGCAAGUUCUAAAAAAACAACUAAAAACUUAUAUUGUAUAAAAUAUCUAAUAUGAAUAGUAAAUCUGAAGUAGUGCAAUUUUUGGAUUAAAAAGAAAUUUGAAAAUAAAUGGAAAAAGUUUUGAAAAUUUUGCGAUAAGGAAAAAAUAACAAUUUGGAAAAUAUUCACAUCAAUCAAACUUCAAUGCAUUUAUUUGCCCAAGGAAAUGCAACAGGUAAGCUAGACUAUAAGAAACGCAAAUAUUCCUUUUUUUAAAAAAAAAACGACAAAAAAAUACAGAAUGGCUGUCUCAACGACAAUAUUCUCAUGGAUUUCAUUGUUGUCGUCACUUUUUUGUGCAAAAAUAAAAAAUAUAUAUGUAUAAAUUGCUGCUGUUCGAUGCUCGGUUGCACAAACAACAUAACAAUAACAGCAGCAACAACCAAAAAAACAGAAAAA